ACGAAACAGCCCUGCCCGAAGCUUACGAAUAUUGUAAGUCUCAAUACUGCACGUGGCAUCUCUAUGACCAUAAGCCAGACCCUGUGGAAGUUCUUAUAUAAAAGAAGAGAAUACUUGUUACUAGUGUUUCACUUCAACAAAGGCGAGAGAGCCUUUCACUGGGAAAGCCGUUGAAAACAAGAGGGGAAGUUCACUUCGAUUAAGACAAGAAAAGGUGAGAUAUCUCUGCGUUUUAGUAGGACCCCGAACAAAUUAUCAUGUUUGUCGGAUAAUACUAUAAAAAAUACUGUCAGAAAUUAAAAGCAUUUGAGAGAGGAACAAAUCAACGGUACGCUUAAAAGAGGCGGAAGUAGCUCGAACAAGAACUCAAUAGGCCUUUUGCAGGAGUUGAUCAUUUGACCGAUUUCUCCUUAGCAAUGCCAUGCUAGCUGGCAAGCCAUUCUCUGUGUCGCUUGACAACCAGCUAUUAUCUUUGUAUUGAAGCGUGUCUCUUAUUUUUGUUGAAAGUGCUCUAACAGUUAAUCCUAAUCCAUCUCUUCGUCAACUGGAAAAUAUUUAUUGCCAAAGCUUACCAUACAGUGAAUUUUGUGAGAUUUUCGAUGGAACUAAGAGAGUUUUGACAAAGUUUUGACUUCACAAAGUGAGCGCCAUCAAGACAAAUGUGGCGGGAUCAAAAAUGGGUAACUAUUGCAAGUUUUUGCCGUAAUCUGUUACCUUUUCUUGGAACAUUUUCGGAAGAAUAGUAAAAAGUUUAAAGCAAUCCUUGUCUUAGCGGAUAAUGAGACUCAAGAUUUGUCUUUGAUUCCAAAUUUGACG